rnacentral:rRNA from 1 species
GACGUAGGGCGCGAGCGUUGUCCGGAAUUAUUGGGCGUAAAGAGCUCGUAGGCGGUUUGUCGCGUCUGCCGUGAAAGUCCGGGGCUCAACUCCGGAUCUGCGGUGGGUACGGGCAGACUAGAGUGAUGUAGGGGAGACUGGAAUUCCUGGUGUAGCGGUGAAAUGCGCAGAUAUCAGGAGGAACACCGGUGGCGAAGGCGGGUCUCUGGGCCGAUACUGACGCUGAGAAGCGAAAGCAUGGGGAGCGAACAGG